AACGAACGCUGGCGGCAGGCCUAAUACACGCAAGUCGAACGCACCGCAAGGUGAGUGGCAGACGGGUGAGUAACGCGUGGGAAUCUUCCUUGCAGUACGGAAUAACUCCGGGAAACCGGUGCUAAUACCGUAUACGCCCUUUGGGGGAAAGAUUUAUCGCUGCAAGAUGAGCCCGCGUCGGAUUAGCUAGUUGGUGGGGUAAUGGCCUACCAAGGCGACGAUCCGUAGCUGGUCUGAGAGGAUGAUCAGCCACACUGGGACUGAGACACGGCCCAGACUCCUACGGGAGGCAGCAGUAGGGAAUAUUGGACAAUGGGCGAAAGCCUGAUCCAGCCAUGCCGCGUGAGUGAAGAAGGCCUUAGGGUUGUAAAGCUCUUUUGGCGGGGACGAUAAUGACGGUACCCGCAGAAUAAGCUCCGGCUAACUUCGUGCCAGCCGCCGCGGUAA
rnacentral:rRNA from 1 species